GUUCUCUGUUAGCACAUGCACCUAAAUUGGGACAAUACAGAGAUGAGCCUGGCCUCGCCUAAAGAUGACAGUCAAGUUUAUGACUUAUUGAAUAUUUAA
rnacentral:snRNA from 1 species